rnacentral:rRNA from 1 species
AAACUUAAAUGAAUUGACGGGGCCCGCACAAGCGGUGGAGCAUGUGGUUUAAUUCGACGCAACGCGAAGAACCUUACCAGGGCUUGACAUCUUCUGACCCGCUUAAGGAAACUUAAGCUUUCCGGAAGGUUUACUUUCUGGACAGAAAGACAGGUGGUGCAUGGUUGUCGUCAGCUCGUGUCGUGAGAUGUUGGGUUAAGUCCCGCAACGAGCGCAACCCCUACGGUUAGUUGCUAACGGGUAAGGCCGAGCACUUUAGCCGAACUGCCGUUGACAAAACGGAGGAAGGCGGGGAUGACGUCAAAUCAUCAUGCCCUUUAUGUCCUGGGCUACACACGUGCUACAAUGGCCUGUACAAAGGGCAGCAAAGGGGCGACCCGGAGCAAAUCCCAAAAAACAGGUCUCAGUUCGGAUUGCAGGCUGCAACUCGCCUGCAUGAAGGCGGAAUCGCUAGUAAUCGCAGGUCAGCAUACUGCGGUCGAAUACGUUCCCGGGCCUU